UGGGCGUGGCGGAGGCGCGGCCGGGGAACGGAACGGAACGGAACAGAACGGAACGGAACAGAACGGAACGGAACGGAACGGGCGGCGGGCGCAGCCAUGUCCUUCUGCUCCUUCCUGGGGGGAGAGGUAUUCAAGGAUCACUUCCAGCCGGGUAUUUACGUGUGUGCCAAGUGUGGCCAUGAGCUGUUCUCCAGCCGGGCCAAGUACGAGCACUCGUCGCCGUGGCCAGCCUUCACCGAGACCCUGCGCGGGGACAGCGUGGCCAAGCGUGAGGAGCGCCCGGGGGCGCUGAAGGUGACGUGUGGCAAGUGUGGCAACGGGCUGGGCCACGAGUUCCUCAACGAUGGCCCCAAGAGGGGCCAGUCCCGCUUCUGAAUAUUCAGCAGCUCGCUGAAGUUCGUCCCCAAAGGUAAAGCUGACCUGAAGGAGAAGUAAGUGAGCUGCUUCACCUGCCACUGCCCUGGGCUAAUCCUGCCUCCACUGCCUGGGAUGCACUGUCUGCCAAGGGGACCCACAGCAGGAGCAACCCCAGGGAUGCUCCUGGUCCAAGUUUGCCCCUGAUUUCCUGGUCACAGUUUCCCCUUGAUUUCCCUGUCAGGGUUUUAUUCCCUGAUUUCCCUGUGAAGGUUUUAUUCCCUGAUUUCCCAGUCACGGUUUCCCCUUGAUUUCCCUGUCAGGGUUUUAUUCCCCGAUUUCCCUCUCAGGGUUCCCCUGUUUUCCCUGUUGCAGUUCCCCUUGAUUUCUGUCACGGUUCCCCCCUGAUUUCCCUAUCCCAGUUCUCUCCUGGUUUCCCUGCUCCAAUUCCCCCCUGGUUUCUCUGUCACGGUUCUCUCCUGGUUUCCCUAUCCCAGUUCCCCCCUGGUUUCCCUGUGACAGUUCCUCCCUGGUUUCCCUGUCAAGGUUCUCCCUGUCCCAGUUCCCCCCAGGUUUCCCUAUCCCAGUUCCCCCCAGGUUUCCCUGGCCCAGUUCCUCUCUGGGGCUGUUCCAGCUCCACCCCAGGAGCUGCAGUGCCUGUGCUGAGCCUGGGAGCCUUUGCUGCUGACAGUGUCCAGAGCCUGGCAGGCACUGCUCAGUCCAGGAGGCUGUGCUGGCACUCCCAGGGAGUGAGGCAGGAUUAGCUGAGCUCAGGGUCAGGGUUAAUCCCUGGAGCUAUUCUGGGAUCAUGCUAUGAAGUGCCCUAUAUAAACCCUUCCAGGGUGCUGGGGCAGGGAUGUUUGAUGGUCCCACUGGGCAGCAUCCAGGUGUUUUCCCCCCCUGCCCACCUCCCACCCUGCAGGGACGGUUCCACACCAGUCUCCUCGACUCUGCCCUGGCCUUACACCUGACUCAGCACUGUGCAAUCAAUUCCAGGGGCACUCAGAGUCCUCCUGGCCCUGCUCUGUGGGAGGGAGGCUGGACCUGUGCCCAGGGGCUGUGCUUGGCACCGCUCAGGCUCUGGGAAUCGUGGCUGUGCUGCCUCAGUGCUCCCAAGGGCUGCCACACUGAUUCUGCUGAAUUCCAGUGCCUCAUUCCUGCCUGUCCCAGGAGCCAAAUCCUCCUCUGGAAUGGGUACACCAGGAUCUUUAAUGAGGGAAGAGGCUGUUGCUGACCCGUGGGGUUUUGGGGGCUGCGCUGUGGGUGCAGCUCCACUCAGGGGACACCUUGGGGCCUUUUCUCUCCACGUGUUUUCCCUCAAUCCCACGGAUCCAGGGGCACCAGGCGAGGUUUGCCACCCCUGGAGCUCACUGCUGGUCUCUCCAUGCUGAAAUAAAGCACUGAUUCACUGUG